rnacentral:rRNA from 1 species
GACGAACGCUGGCGGCGUGCUUAACACAUGCAAGUCGGACGGAAAGGCCCUGCUUGCAGGGUACUCGAGUGGCGAACGGGUGAGUAACACGUGGGUGAUCUGCCCUGCACUUCGGGAUAAGCCUGGGAAACUGGGUCUAAUACCAGAUAGGAGCCAUUUUUAGUGUGAUGGUUGGAAAGUUUUUUCGGUGUAGGAUGAGCUCGCGGCCUAUCAGCUUGUUGGUGGGGUAAUGGCCUACCAAGGCGGCGACGGGUAGCCGGCCUGAGAGAGUGGACGGCCACAUUGGGACUGAGGGACGGCCCAGACUCCGACGGGAGGCAGCAGGGGGGAAUAUUGCACAAUGGGCGCAAGCCUGAUGCAGCGACGCCGCGGGGGGGAUGACGGCCUUCGGGUUGUAAACUCCUUUCGCUAGGGACGAAGCUUUUUGUGACGGUACCUAGAGAAGAAGCACCGGCUAACUACGUG